rnacentral:RNase_P_RNA from 1 species
GAUGCGGGUCGUCUUAUCGCGCCGACCUUCGGGUGGGUGAGGAAAGUCCGGGCAGCGCAGAGCACCCUACUUCCUAACGGGAAGGCAGUCCACUGGCGACGGUGUACUGACAGACAGGGCAACAGAAAAUAUACCGCCAGAUUUUAAAGAGCGAAAGAAUGAAAGAGUGAAAGAGCGAAUUGCUGCCGCACCUGAUGAUGGUUCCUGGCCAGUAAUUCGCUCUUUUACUCUUUCGCUCUUUCACUCUUUAAGCCUGGUAAGGGCGAACCGGUGGGGUAAGAGCCCACCGCCCGGCGGGCGACCGACGGGGCACGGUAACCCUUAGGGGCUGAAAGACCAAAUAAGCGUCGGACGCGCGGCUGCUCGUCGCCAGCAGCCCGGUUUCGGCCGGGUGAAAACCGACGCGGGUAGGUCGAACGAGGUGUCCGGGUGACCGGCAUCCCAGAUAAAUGAUAAGACGGCUGGCUUCACGGCUGGUCGACAGAACCCGGCUUAUAGGCCCGUAUCGUAU